rnacentral:rRNA from 2 species
GUCGAGCGGACUGAUGGGAGCUUGCUCCCAUCAGUCAGCGGCGGACGGGUGAGUAACACGUGGGUAACCUGCCUGUAAGACUGGGAUAACUCCGGGAAACCGGGGCUAAUACCGGAUAACUCAUUUCCUCGCAUGAGGAAAUGUUGAAAGAUGGCUUCUUGCUAUCACUUACAGAUGGACCCGCGGCGCAUUAGCUAGUUGGUGAGGUAACGGCUCACCAAGGCGACGAUGCGUAGCCGACCUGAGAGGGUGAUCGGCCACACUGGGACUGAAACACGGCCCAAACUCCUACGGGAGGCAGCAGUAGGGAAUCUUCCGCAAUGGACGAAAGUCUGACGGAGCAACGCCGCGUGAGUGAUGAAGGUUUUCGGAUCGUAAAACUCUGUUGUUAGGGAAAAACAAGUACCGUUCGAAUAGGGCGGUACCUUGACGGUACCUAACCAGAAAGCCACGGCUAACUACGUGCCAGCAGCCGCGGUAAUACGUAGGUGGCAAGCGUUGUCCGGAAUUAUUGGGCGUAAAGCGCGCGCAGGUGGUUUCUUAAGUCUGAUGUGAAAGCCCACGGCUCAACCGUGGAGGGUCAUUGGAAACUGGGGAACUUGAGUGCAGAAGAGGAAAGUGGAAUUCCAAGUGUAGCGGUGAAAUGCGUAGAUAUUUGGAGGAACACCAGUGGCGAAGGCGACUUUCUGGUCUGUAACUGACACUGAGGCGCGAAAGCGUGGGGAGCAAACAGGAUUAGAUACCCUGGUAGUCCACGCCGUAAACGAUGAGUGCUAAGUGUUAGAGGGUUUCCGCCCUUUAGUGCUGCAGCUAACGCAUUAAGCACUCCGCCUGGGGAGUACGGUCGCAAGACUGAACUCAAAGGAAUUGACGGGGGCCCGCACAAGCGGUG